rnacentral:rRNA from 1 species
CACGUAGGGCGCAAGCGUUGUCCGGAAUUAUUGGGCGUAAAGAGCUCGUAGCGGUCUGUUGCGUCUGCUGUGAAAACCCGGGGCUUAACCCCUGGCUUGCAGUGGAUACGGACAGACUAGAGGUAGGUAGGGGAGAAUGGAAUUCCCGGUGUAGCGGUGAAAUGCGCAGAUAUCGGGAGGAACACCGGUGGCGAAGGCGGUUCUCUGGGCCUUACCUGACGCUGAGGAGCGAAAGCGUGGGGAGCGAACAGG